AACGAACGCUGGCGGCAGGCCUAACACAUGCAAGUCGAACGCCGUAGCAAUACGGAGUGGCAGACGGGUGAGUAACGCGUGGGAACCUUCCCUAUGGUUCGGCAUAGCUCAGGGAAACCUGGGGUAAUACCGGAUAAGCCCUUCGGGGGAAAGAUUUAUCGCCAUUGGAUGGGCCCGCGUAGGAUUAGCUAGUUGGUGAGGUAAUGGCUCACCAAGGCGACGAUCCUUAGCUGGUCUGAGAGGAUGAUCAGCCACACUGGGACUGAGACACGGCCCAGACUCCUACGGGAGGCAGCAGUGGGGAAUAUUGGACAAUGGGCGAAAGCCUGAUCCAGCCAUGCCGCGUGAGUGACGAAGGCCUUAGGGUUGUAAAGCUCUUUUGGCGGGGAAGAUAAUGACGGUACCCGCAGAAUAAGCUCCGGCUAACUUCGUGCCAGCCGCCGCCGUAACAC
rnacentral:rRNA from 1 species